UAAAAGAAAGGCUCAAAGAGGAAGAUGGCAGCGUAUGAGGACGCUGGGUUCACCGCCUCCUGCUGAUCACUUAGAUUCCACCCACACCUGCCUAAAUAACCCAGAAAACCACCAGAAGACUAGCAGAAAGGAUUCUCCAGAGCCAAGAAUAGAUGAGAGGCCCACAUAAGAGGGUAGGAAGGGCAGAGAGGCAGUGCACGCUACACGGACUGGCAGGAGGGAGCCAGGACGGAGGGGCAGCCAGCUGGCAAAGCAGAGCCGGCAGAGUCUGGCUUGCAAAAGUGGAGGGGCCAGACGGAGUGUGUUCGGACAGCAAGCGGGACUUAACAUCUGGAAGGUUAUAAGCUAACAGCUCUGCUUGGAGAGCAGAAGGGCUGGAAGACAACGAGAGGGAGAGUUGUUGAGCCCUGGAUGACAGAGAUCAGCUUGGCAGGGAACAAAGGUCAUCGCCAGCGCCAUCUCCCUCAUCCAUCCCCCAGACAAAAUCCCAAAGGGAACAAGUUCCUGCCAGGGCACUUGCUUGCACCUGGCAAACACCCAACACUGUGCUUCUGCGGAUCCAUCCCUCCAGCAGCCGGGCUGACUCCCUCCAGGAGCCACAGGGCCUCUCCUGAAGUGGAUCACCAAAGGAUUAUGAGCUGAACCUACCCCUCCCACCCCUGUGCAACUUGCUGAUCUACCCCAGCUAAUACAUCAGAUCCCCAGCACCACAAGACUGGCAGUGUGCAAGUAGCCCAGAUGGGCCACACCACCCCACAGUGAUCCCUGCCUCUAGGAAAGGGGAAGUGAAAGUACACACCAAU